CAGUAGCCGCGGGAAUACGAAGGGGGCUAGCGUUGUUCGGAAUUACUGGGCGUAAAGCGCACGUAGGCGGCUUGGUAAGUUAGAGGUGAAAGCCCAGGGCUCAAUCCUGGAAUUGCCUUUAAGACUGCCGAGCUAGUAGGUGAGAGAGGUAAGUGGAAUUCCGAGUGUAGAGGUGAAAUUCGUAGAUAUUCGGAAGAACACCAGUGGCGAAGGCGGCUUACUGGCUCAUUCUAGACGCUGAGGUGCGAAAGCGUGGGGAGCAAACAGGAUUAGAUACCCCUGUAGUCCCUGUCUCUUAUAC
rnacentral:rRNA from 1 species